UUGACCAAUUCGACCUCAA
rnacentral:rRNA from 2 species